AUAAUACGCCCCGCAAUGAAAGAAUGGCCGAGUUUACAGUAACUCGGAUCCAAAAUAAUCUGUCGUUGAUCUCGAAACUUCUUGAAACAAAUAUAGCUUUGUAUGCAUAUCGCUGGGACUGUUGCAUGUAGGUAUCGCAGCCAUUCAAAUAGAAAACAAAGCUCUUGAUGGAUGUUUCAAAUGUUUGUGGUCGUCAAGUCGAUCAUUUUCACCACGAUUUCUAAUGGGUAUUCGAUCUCUUUUUUCCAUAUUUUGCAACUGAGAUGGGCUUUGCUGUAAGGCGUUCAAUAGGGCCAUAUGAAUAGGACGGCCCGGCAGAGCACCAUUUGCCUGAUGGGCUGUAUAGUGAGAAUGCUGUAAAAGCGCUGCGGAAAAGGAAACGCUCAAACGAAACGACGAUGGUCUUUGAUGACGGUUAACAUCAGACUCAAGGCGUGCAAUAGGACCAUAUGAAUAGGACGGGCACAGCACAAUUUACGUGUGGUGACGUCUUCGCUUGGUCUCGGCAGAUGCAGAUGAACACUCGACCAGCUUCGGGCAAGAGGAACAAUUCGUGAAACUAAUACGUGUCAUACUCGAUCUUGAACAGCGAACGAUUAACAGAUAGGACACACUUGUCUCGUAUGCUACAUCUGGGCAGAUGAACACUCGACCAGUUUCGGGCAAGAGGAACAAUUCGUGAAAGUAAUACGUGUGAUACUCGAUCGUGAACAGCGAACGGUGAACAGAUAGGACACACUUGUCUCGUAUGCUAAAUCAUCAACAGUGAGGCUUUAAUGGAUCACCAUUUCGGUUAGAAUUUGAAGUCCUGCGAAAUGAUGUGAAUGGUGGUUUUUACUCAAAUCAAGUAAAGAUAAACUGACAUUAUCUUUUUUUAAUAUUUUUUUCGCCGAUCAACAUAUUGUUUCAAAAUAAGGGUUGACCAUAGGUAUCACCAUUUCGGCUGGAAUUUGAAGUCCUGAAGCAAUGCGAACUUCUUCAAAAUGAUGUGAA